AGCUUUAGGUCCGGAUGGUGUGCUCUGUGAGACAAUGGUGGAUCUUUGGAGUGAGAGCCUUCCUGUGAAAAACUUGCUCAGCCCCACCAGAGCCAGGACAGAGCAGAAGACUGGACAGGCAGUGACUGGGACUGUGGGGACAAAGGAAGGGCAAUUCCCCAGGACCAUACAUUUCAGUGAGAAAAGCCCUCAAGAAUCAGGUCUGUGGUUGGCCAGCUGGUACAUUCUUGUGACCUCAGUUUCCCCAUUGUUAAGAAUGAAGGUUGGGUAGGAAUCAACCAUCCCUAAUGUUCUUCCAGCUCUGAU
rnacentral:lncRNA from 10 species